rnacentral:sRNA from 1 species
UAUUUCUUAAAAAUUUGAGUACAAGGUUUUUUGGGUACAUAUUUACAAGUCCAGCAAAUAAGCAUUUCAUCCGAAGCCAAAGAACAACAACCACCGGAAGCAGUAGAACACACCGUGAUAAUGUAUGGGGGACAAAAUUCAUCGAAAACAAACUGAAAUUUUGCCACACACCAACCAGUAAGCCAAUGUGAUGGUUGGUAUUGGCUAACUGGUUGCUGGUGCAAGGCAAAAUUUCAUCAGCUAUGUCAUGAACAACAAACAAAGAAGAAGGCUGCCCAGACAUGCAUCCUUUCAUGUGCAUGUGGGCCGUCGUCUUUGUCAUUGUUUAGAGAGUGGAGCAAAUUCAAGUGUGCCGAGAGUAUCUGAAGGAUAACUAAUGCGAGUUUUCGCAGCCACGUUUUAUGUGCAAUGUUUGCGGUCACAAAAAUGUUACAUAAGCUGGAAUAAGGACUGUACACCACCAAGUUUAACUGUAUACUGCUACAUUUGUGAGCCAAUAUGUAGCAAUUAUAAGUACGCCGUUUACAAAUGUUGUAUGCUAAUUUAUAAUUUAGAGUAAGAACGAAUGAUGAAACACAAUUACUACAAUAUUAUACAAAAACUAAAAGCCCGAUGGAAAGAAAGUGGUGGGAGACACCUCAAAACUUGGUGUCGGAGAUUUUA